AGUGAACGCUGGCGGCGUGCUUAACACAUGCAAGUCGAGCGAGAUCUGACAGCACACCGUCAGGUCUAGCGGCAGACGGGUGAGUAAUAUUUGGGCAAUCUGCCCUUGAGUGGGGGACAACCUGCCGAAAGGCGGGCUAAUACCCCAUAAGACCACAGGGAUGCAUAUUCCAGGGGUCAAAGCUCCGCAAGGGGCGCUUAAGGAGGAGCCCGAAUCCUAUCAUGGUAGUUGGCGGGGUAAUGGCCCACCAAGCCGUUGACGGGUAGCCGGCCUGAAAGGGCAACCGGCCACACUGGCACUGAGACACGGGCCAGACUCCUACGGGAGGCAGCAGUGGGGAAUUUUGGACAAUGGGGGCAACCCUGAUCCAGCGACGCCGCGUGAAGGAUGAAAUUUUUCGGAAUGUAAACUUCGCAAGAACAGGAAGAAUAAAGUGUGGGACAAUACCCCACAUGAUGACGGUACUGUUUGUAAGCUCCGGCUAACUCCGU
rnacentral:rRNA from 1 species